AUGACACCGUUAGCCAGCAGUGUGUCUCCUGAAAAGAGAGCUGAUUAGAGAGGCAGUUUUGAAUUUAGGAGUGGCAAGAUGGCAGCGGCAAACCCUGGCGGUUCUCCGGGUUCGUGGCAACCACGGAUGGGGAAAAUGUGGAGGUUGCACGGCUGAUGUUUACUGUUCAUGGCACAGCAAGAGGCAGUUUUAUUUCAGGAAUGAGUGAGCACAAUCAAAGAAUAGAGCGACUGUGGAGAGACCUCUGGGUGGCCAUUACAUGCUUUACUACGAUGUUCUUCACAACCUUGAGGAAGAAGACCUUCUUGACAUUUCAAAUGCUGCACACCUCUUUUGCUGCCAUUACGUCUUUCUUCCUCGACUGGAGGAUGAUUUUAAUACAUUUUGCAGUGGAUGGGACAACCAUCCACUGCGAAC